GAUUUUAGUUAAGAGACUAAUCUUGUACCAUCGUCGCCAGCUUUCCAAUACUUGACACUAAGUUUCGCAUUAUAAUGCAUUAAGAACUGAGGGAAGCGUAAAAAAUGAAAUGUAAAUUGACAUUUGUUUAUUCUAUAUAAACAAGCCACAUUUGUCAGCGACAUCAAAUGAAACGGCGCUGACGAAAAUUCCUUACAAGCAAAUAAAAAUGGAGUUUCCUCAUAUGAAGGAUUUGAAAAAACAGAAGCAAAAUGUGAUGUGUUUAACUAUUCCAAAUAAGAAAAGGUGUCAUUCAAGAGUUUAAGUGCAGCUGGUAAAGAAGAAUUAUUAUUAUCUUUUUGGCUAUUUUGGAAUUGCAAUUCCGGGCGCUGAAGACGUAGCUACAUUUUGCGCUUCAAUUAAAAAUUUUAGUGACAAUUCAUUGCUGUCUCGGACGAUAUUCCAAAUAGUGCAACUUAGGAAACGAAGAGAAAGGCGGGCUCUAACGUCAAGGAGUUGUAUCGGGAAAAGACCCAGGAUGAGAAAGAAUAUCGGAAGCAAAACCUGCAAUAUCAACAGCAAGCAUUGCAAAUAAUGAGGGAAAGGAACGAUAAUGCGAAAUGGUCUCACGAUAGUAUGUAACAACUGUUUACAGCAAAGAAUUAUUUGGAUUUAUGAACAAAUAAAAAAAACUAUGCAAAGCAAAGUAGAUCCAAUAUAUAAAAAGUUUUUUUCGAUCGAAAUAGGAAAUCAUACUUUCAAUACUUAUUUAAUUUUUGUGCGAGUUAUAAACAAUUUUAAAAAUUAAUUCUAUUUUUUAGACGAUUAUAAUAUUUGUAAUUUUUGCACCAGCAAUACUUUAACUUCUUCGCCAGACUACCACAAUUGAAAAGUCUCCACACAAACGUCAAUACCAUCCAUUUCAUAGGUCCACCGUGCUGAAGUAUUCAAAUAAUCUCCUUUCACUUUGUAGAGAAUACUUGCAAAAGCAUUUGUGACUGUUCCAAACUUCUUUGAACUGUAGCAGCUCUUUUAUGAGCAAAGUUACGAUGCAUUGCACCGAACAUGUACACA